rnacentral:rRNA from 1 species
GAUGAACGCUGGCGGCGUGCUUAACACAUGCAAGUCGAACGAAGCACCUGAGAACAAUUCUUCGGAGGCGUUCUCUUGUGACUGAGUGGCGGACGGGUGAGUAACGCGUGGGUAACCUGCCCUAUACAGGGGGAUAACAGUUAGAAAUGACUGCUAAUACCGCAUAAGCGCACAGAGCCGCAUGGUUCGGUGUGAAAAACUGAGGUGGUAUAGGAUGGACCCGCGUCUGAUUAGCUUGUUGGUGAGGUAACGGCUCACCAAGGCGACGAUCAGUAGCCGGCCUGAGAGGGCGACCGGCCACAUUGGGACUGAGACACGGCCCAAACUCCUACGGGAGGCAGCAGUGGGGAAUAUUGCACAAUGGGGGAAACCCUGAUGCAGCGACGCCGCGUGAGUGAAGAAGUAUUUCGGUAUGUAAAGCUCUAUCAGCAGGGAAGAAAAUGACGGUACCUGACUAAGAAGCCCCGGCUAACUACGUGCCAGCCGCCGCCGUAAGAC